rnacentral:rRNA from 1 species
GACGAACGCUGGCGGCGUGCUUAACACAUGCAAGUCGAACGGACAGGCCCUGCUUUUGUGGGGUGCUCGAGUGGCGAACGGGUGAGUAACACGUGAGUAACCUGCCCUUGACUUUGGGAUAACUUCAGGAAACUGGGGCUAUUACCGGAUAGGAGCUCCUGCUGCAUGGUGGGGGUUGGAAAGUUUCGGCGUUUGGGGAUGGUCUCGCGGCUUAUCGGCUUGUUGGUGGGGUAGUGGCUUACCAUGGCUUUGACGGGUAGCCGGCCUGAGAGUGUGACCGGCCACAUUGGGACUGAGAUACGGCCCAGACUCUUACGGGUGGGAGCAGUGGCGAAUAUUGCAUAGUGGGCGGAAUCCGGAUGCAGCAACGCCGCGUGCGGGAUGACGGCCUUCGGGUAGUAAACCGCUUUCGCCUGUGACGAAGCGUAAGUGACGGUAAUGGGUAAAGAAGCACCGGCUAACUACGU